AGGGGUGUCGCCAAGCGGCCAAAGGCACCGGGUUUUGAUCCCGACAUUCGAAGGUUCGAAUCCUUCCACCCCUUCCA
rnacentral:tRNA from 3 species